AUUGAACGCUAGCGGGAUGCCUUACACAUGCAAGUCGAACGGAGUGGCCAACGGGUGAGUAAUGUAUCGGAACGUGCCCAGUAGCGGGGGAUAACUACGCGAAAGCGUAGCUAAUACCGCAUACUAUUUGCGCGGCCGAUAUCGGAUUUGCUCGUUGGUGGGGUAACGGCUUACCAAGGCGACGAUCCGUAGCUGGUUUGAGAGGACGACCAGCCACACUGGGACUGAGACACGGCCCAGACUCCUACGGGAGGCAGCAGUGGGGAAUUUUGGACAAUGGGGGAAACCCUGAUGCAGCAAUCCCGCGUGUGCGAUGAAGGCCUUCGGGUUGUAAAGCUCUUUCAGCGAGGAGGCGUUACUCGCAGAAGAAGCACCGGCUAACUCCGUGCCAGCAGCCGCGGUAAUUC
rnacentral:rRNA from 1 species